CCUUGGUGGCUCAAACCGUAAAGAGCCUGCCUGCAAUGCAGGAGACCCAGGUUCGAUCCCUGGGUUGGGGA
rnacentral:tRNA from 1 species